UCGUUUUGGGAAUUGAUUGAGUGGUUGGAUUGGUGGCUAGGAGGACAGGAGAAUAUGGACAUUAUUCUAAUGACUAAAUGGUAUUUCUAGAAUUUCCUUAAAGACAUGUGUUUGGCAUGUGACUACUUAAUUUCCAAGAAACUCUAUAAAUACCACUUCCAUUCCAUUAGGAAGGAACUUCUGACUCUUUUGGAAUUUUGGAGCUUGGACAUUCUCUCUCAACUCGAAGCACUCAAGAAGGCUCUCUGAAUCCCUGUUACCCUAACAAGGUUUUCGGAUUAUAGAAGUCUCUCUCAACCCGAAGCACUCAAGAAGACUUUUGGAAUCCAUGUUACCCUAACAAGGUUGUUAGAUUCUAGGAGUUCUGUCACUUGUCAUUGGAGUAAUCGAUCACCUGUUCUUCUCUCAUCUCAAUCCAUCAAUUAAUUUCGUGCUCUUCGUAGAUUUCUCUCCUCCUCAGCCAACACGAAACUCUAACCCUAGCAAUGCACGAUUUUCU
rnacentral:lncRNA from 1 species